UGGACCUACGGGAGGCAGCAGUAGGGAAUUUUCGUCAAUGGGCGCAAGCCUGAACGAGCAAUGCCGCGUGAACGAGGAAGGUCUUCGGAUCGUAAAGUUCUGUUGAAGGGGAAAAAGAGCGGAGAGAGGAAAUGGUCUCCGAUUGAUAUUACCCUUCGAGGAAGUCACGGCUAACUACGUGCCAGCAGCCGCGGUAAUACGUAGGUGGCGAGCGUUAUCCGGAAUGAUCGGGCGUAAAGGGUGCGUAGGCGGCCUGCUACGUUUGGAGCGAAAGGUACCGGCUCAACCGGUACAGGC
rnacentral:rRNA from 1 species